rnacentral:miRNA from 1 species
UGGGUUGACCAAAAAGUUCAUUCGGGUUUUUCUACAUCUUACAGAAAAACCCGAACAAACUUUUUGGCCAACCCA